rnacentral:rRNA from 1 species
UUGAACGCUGGCGGCAUGCUUUACACAUGCAAGUCGAACGGUAACAGGUUAAGCUGACGAGUGGCGAACGGGUGAGUAAUGCAUCGGAACGUGCCCAGUAGUGGGGGAUAGCCCGGCGAAAGCCGGAUCAAUACCGCAUACGACCUGAGGGUGAAAGCAGGGGACCGCAAGGCCUUGCGCUAUUGGAGCGGCCGAUGUCAGAUUAGCUAGAUGGUGGGGUAAAAGCCUACCAAGGCGACGAUCUGUAGCUGGUCUGAGAGGACGACCAGCCACACUGGGACUGAGACACGGCCCAGACUCCUACGGGAGGCAGCAGUGGGGAAUUUUGGACAAUGGGCGCAAGCCUGAUCCAGCCAUGCCGCGUGCGGGAAGAAGGCCUUCGGGUUGUAAACCGCUUUUGUCAGGGAAGAAACGGUCUGGGCUAAUACCCUGGGCUAAUGACGGUACCUGAAGAAUAAGCACCGGCUAACUACGU